CCAUUAUAGAUAAAGAACUAUAAUAAACCCUUUCAUUUAGAGACAAGUGUAAAAAUCUUUUCCUCUAGUAGUUUUUAAGUCUAAUAAGGAAUAUGACAGAAGUAAUUAUAGUAUGCAGAUACAUUUAAAUGUUUGUGUCAUUCAGACAACAACAAAAAAAAGAGCUCACUUCUUGCUGGAUCAAGGAAGGUUAUAGAGGAGAGUUAGCAGUGAAGUAAAGUAUGAUUUUAUUUAACAUAUGGAUGUGCGCAAGCAAAAAUAUAGCUUGGGUUUUGUAACCAGUUGGUUAGAUACAGCGUGUCUUUGUGUUCUUGGUUACUGUUAAUAAUUAGGACUGUGUUGCUGCUUCCUUUGGACUGUUCAUUUGGUUAUUUGAAUUAUUACUCAAUAGGUUGAUUUUUUUUUCCUCUUUAAAUGUCAGUAGUCUUUAUUUCUCAAGACUAAGAAGAUCUGAUUUCCAAGAGACUUUAUUAAUAUCAGAGCAUACUUUGUAUCCAUUAGUAGUUACUGAAUACAGGAAAAAUUGGAUAAUGAUAGAGAAAUUCUGUUUUUG
rnacentral:lncRNA from 1 species